GUUCCUUUCAGGGAGCAAAGAAAUUAAAAUUAGAACAAUACAAAGAAGAUGAGCAUGGAUGUGCUAAUCCAAGUGCAAGGAUGACCCUUAAAUUCAAGAAGCAUUCUGUUUUUCU
ensembl:snRNA U6 U6 spliceosomal RNA